UGAUUGCUUGCUGUAUGUAGCCAUUAAUGCUAAUUACACUGCAGGAGCUGAUGUGACAGGCUAUUUGUUAUCCUUGAAGGUAUGAAGGAAAAAGUUCAAUACCUUGGCUGGUAGCAUUUUUCUGAAGUGCUUGACAAAACCACCAAUUCCUGAUUUGUCUUCAUAAUUCUGCAGCUGCCUUAGAUAGCAUUUUAUUUCUUGGCCUGACCUUUGGUGGAUGGAGCCUGAGUGUCAGUUUUACAGGCACAGCAGCUCUCAAGUGCUGUAGGAUCCAGAGUCUGUGAUCCUCUACGAAAACUGGAAGGAAAAGUCCAUAAAUCGUCCAUCGGAUUGCACAGUUUUCCUGUUUUCAGUGAGACUUUUAUAUUGGAAAAUGCUUGGAUUGUGAAGUUUUGUGACCACUGAUCCGUUUGGAGUGGGUUGGAGUUGGCUUUGGAGUGGAACAGCAUUUCCUUUGUCUUCUUCCUCUUCCAGACCGACUCGCCAAGUGUAUAUAUGCAGAUACUUGCACGUAGGGUUCAAAGUCAUUCGCAACAUGUCUUAGAAGGAUUGACUUGGAGACUGAUGUUUCAGAGCACAUGUGAAUCUUUAUUGCACUGAACUGUAAGGGCUGGGUGCUCUACGUGUAACUCAAAUAGAUGAUACUUCCAAAUGUAAGGUUCUAACAUGAAUAUACCAGACAAAGAAGAGACAUUUAAGAACACAAUAUUAGUGCUGUCAGUAUGAAUAAUAUAUGUCACUCUACGAAGUAAUGUUAGGAAAGAAUCAGUAUAUAAAAGAGCUAAGGUAGGCCAUAAAAAUGAAUGCAAUCCGAGUUAACUGACUUCUCCAGUUCUCUAAAUACCAGAGAGAUUCAGAGUCUUAUUAAGGAGAUUAAAGGCCUUAUGCAAAAUAAACAUGGCUCUAGAGCCUGGAUGCCC